AAAAGCACUUUGAAAAGAGAGUGCAAGAGAACGUGAAAUCGAUAUAAUGGAAGCGAAUGAAGUCGACGUAUCUGGCGCGUAUUCAGUUGUUGGGGUUGUCAAUCUCUUGGAUUCGGUAUUCCGCAAGGUUGCCGGUUCAGGUGUUGUUGGCUGCUUCAGCAAUGCGUUUGCGUGUGGAGUGCGAUGGGUCGGUUGGUGUUGUUGGUGGAAGCGGUUUGAGAGGAUGUAGCUGCGCAAGUGGUUGCAUAACCUUGGAUUGUGGAAACCGAUUGAUGCUUUCCGAUUAUUUGGAACACUGGUCUUGUUCGGAGUUGGGCGUUGAGAUUUGCGCUAUUCGUUGGAGGAACGCGUGCGUUCUUCUGCGGGUUGUGUAGAUUUUGGUGUUCAAUUCCUCUGUUGUUCCUCUCGUCGUAUAGUCGAUCACUCAUUCGACCCGUCUUGAAACACGGACCAAGGAGUUUAUAGUACACGCGAGUCAUUGAGUUAUGAACGAAACUCAAAGGCGAAAUGAAAGUAAGACAGGUCUGUAGUGAAAUAUGAUUGUGCUGGUUUGGUUCUACCAAAACUGUGCAAGCAGUAUUGCCCCGUAUCAUGGACUUGUCCAGGUGCGGAGGUUAAGCGUGUGCAAUGAGACCCGAAAGAUGGUGAACUAUGCCUGAACAGGAUGAAGCCAGAGGAAACUCUGGUGGAAGUCCGAAACGGUUCUGACGUGCAAAUCGAUCGUCUGAUUUUGGUAUAGGAGCGAAAGACUAAUCGAACUAUC
rnacentral:rRNA from 1 species